rnacentral:rRNA from 1 species
UACGUAGGGGGCAAGCGUUGUCCGGAAUCAUUGGGCGUAAAGCGCGUGUAGGCGCCAGAAAAGUCCGCUGUGAAAACUCGAGGCUCAACCUCGAGCUGUCGGUGGAAACUUUCUGGCUAGAGUCCGGAAGAGGAGAAUGGAAUUCCUGGUGUAGCGGUGAAAUGCGCAGAUAUCAGGAAGAACACCCGUGGCGAAGGCGGUUCUCUGGGCCGGAUGACUG